AGGACUCCUGCGUGGACGCCACGGCACCAACGUGGGCGCAAAAUGUUCUUUGUACGUCUGAAUUGCUCGCCGUGAUAAAAGGCGAUCUUGGCCUAUCUGUGCUUAUUUAAUUGGGCCAGAUUUCCUUAUAGUGUAAGCAGCUGCGUGAAUAUAGAACAUGUCUGCGCGUUAAGGAACCCAAGUGGAUGCACAAAGUUUUCCUUCUCCUCGCCUAGAAAGCAGUGGAGCAGAUAUCUUUGAAUUUAAGUGGGACCGCGCAUCAGGGUGCUCGCCGGGAUGAAAGGCGAUCUUGGGAUAGAAUCUUUGCUAACAUGAAUAUGUCGGAUGUCAUUGGAGUUCCAGCCACAGCGAGGAUAAAGAAAAUGUCUUAGCGUUACGGAACCCAAGUGUAUUCACAGUUUUUUUUCCUCGUCUGCAAAGCAGUGAAGCAGAUAUCUUUGAAUUUACUGGAGUAACGGUAUAAAAGGCGAUCUUGGGAUAUCUGUGAUUACAUAAUUGAGCCCGAUAUAUGCUAGAACAUGUCUGCGCGUAACAGAACCCAAGUACGUCUGAAAAGCAGGAGGGCAGAUAUCUUUGAAUUUAACUGGAGUAGCACAUCAUCAGACUGCUCGCCAGGAUAAAAGCCGAUUUUGGGACAUCUGCUGCCUUGCUAAUUUGAAUAUGCCGGACGUGUUUGUUGCAGCUCGAACGGAGUGGAUUUAGUGCACGUCUUCCAAUGUCAACUGUGUAAAAAUGUGCCCAUAAUUCCAUUGUGCAGCUUCUUCUCUUCUGUCUGUUAUGGCCAAGGGCCCCGAUGGUGUUGGCAGCUUCCGGCGUAGAUGAGGCUACGAGUUGUGAACUACGUUGGAUAUUCUGUACCGACGACUCUACGCAGCUUCACACUACAGAUUGCUGGUACUUACUGAUGCCAAACUGUCCUGUGUGAAACGACUUAUUGAAUAGCAGGUGGCUAGAGGACAUCUUUAUCAUCCGUGUUUUGUUCACAAGGAACGAAAAUAACUCACGAAUGAGGACUAUAAUUGGCCAAAGGACGUUACGAUAGUCCUUGUACUUUGGCUAAUUUUCCAUAAAGGACAUUCCAUUUGUAACCACAACUCGCCAAAAAAAAUGUUAAUUUUAUUUGAGCUGUCGAACGUGCCCCAUUCAGAUUGAAGGGUUUAAGGACUCCAAUUGAUUCUAAGGACUUCUACGAAUCCGAAAAGGCUAUUCCUUCCAGGAUCGAACAUAUAUUAAGCUAGAUAUAGCAAAUUUAAGCUAAA
rnacentral:sRNA from 1 species